AUACGUCCGGUAUUGUCCUGUCUGAGGGGAAACCACUCACGCUGAACAUCCCACCUGACGUCACGCGCUGGAAUCGGCCGAGUUCUUCUGUGACCAGCUCCUCGAUGCUCUCUGCCGGCAUACAACGAAGAGUUUCGACCCUACAGGCCUAGAUGCUCCGCCCAUUGUAGUGACGUCAGUGUAUUGUAUCGUAGUUCAGGCCGGUGUCAAAAGUCUAAGCCAUACAUAUCAACCGCAGUUACAACCAAGUAUUGGGAGAAACAGUUGUGGAACAGAAGUGUCAUGCCAGUUAGAUCACUGAUUUUAGGUGACAGGCUGUUGGGAUUCAGGACAACUAGAGAAUGACCGAACAAGCAUGUAAAUGCAAAGACAAAGAAAAAUAACAGCAUGCAAGCAAAGCAAGGAGGACGAAAACACAGAGAGUGAAAAAGAAAGACAAUAAAAAGACUCAUUUCGACUGAAGACUUCAUGCAAUGGCGGCAGGUCUUACCUCCAGUUUUGUGAGAAGAAAGUGAUCCUCCUCGAUGUCAUGCUGGAUGAAGAUAGUAAUUCCCUUGUACCCAUGG